GUUCCACUGAUCAGGAGGUCUAGAAGGAGUCAUAGUUCCACUGAUCAGGAGGUCAAGAAGGAGUCAUAGUUCCACUGAUCAGGAGGUCUAGAAGGAGUCAUAGUUCCACUGAUCAGGAGGUCUAGAAGGAGUCAUAGUUCCACUAAUCAGGAGGUCUAGAAGGAGUCAUAGCUCCACUGAUCAGGAGGUCUAGAAGGAGUCGUAGUUCCACUAAUCAGGAGGUCAAGAAGGAGUCAUAGUUCCACUGAUCAGGAGGUCUAGAAGGAGUCAUAGCUCCACUGAUCAGGAGGUCUAGAAGGAGUCAUAGUUCCACUGAUCAGGAGGUCUAGAAGGAGUCAUAGUUCCACUGAUCAGGAGGUCUAGAAGGAGUCAUAGUUCCACUGAUCAGGAGGUCU